UACAGAGGUCCCGAGCGUUAUUCGGAUUCAUUGGGCGUAAAGGGUGCGUAGGCGGCGGGGCCAGUCUGAUGUGAAAUCCCGGGGCUCAACCCCGGAACUGCAUUGGAUACUGCCUUGCUAGAGUACUGGAGAGGGAACUGGAAUUUACGGUGUAGCAGUGAAAUGCGUAGAGAUCGUAAGGAAGGCCAGUGGCGAAGGCGAGUUCCUGGACAGUGACUGACGCUGAGGCACGAAGGCCAGGGGAGCAAACGGG
rnacentral:rRNA from 1 species